rnacentral:lncRNA from 1 species
CUGGGAAUCUGUCCUGAAGCACAAGGGAGUGGAGCAGAGCUGGCAGAUUUUUAAGGAAGAUCUUUCCUUAGGGCACAAGAGCUCUCCAUCUCCAGAUGUAGGAAGUCAGGAAAGAAAGGUAGUAGACUAUUAUGGCUGAACCAGGACCUGCUGGUCAAGCUGGAGAGCAAGAAGAAAAUGCAUAGGCAGUGGAAGCAGAAACAGGUAACCUGGGAGAAGUAUAGGGAUGCUGCUAGGCUCUGUAGGGGUUGGGGUCAGGAAGGCCAAGGUCCAACUAGAACUGAACUUGGCAAGGGGAGUAAAGAAGGAUAAGAAAGGCUUCUAUAAGUACAUCAGCUAGAAAAGGAAAGUCCAGGAGGACAUACUCUCCCUAGUGAGUGGCACAGGCAGACUAAUAAUAAGAGACAAGAAGUCUGAGAUAUUCUACAACUUUUUGCCUUAGUCUUCACUAGUAACUGCUCUACACACAGGCUUUGACUGGAUGGUUCAGAAUGUGGAAACUGGAAGAGAGAUGCCACUCCUGCUAUAAGUGAAGAUCAGAUUCAUGACCUCCUGAGGAACAUGAACACCCAUAAGUCUAUGAGCCCUGAGGAGAUGCAUCCCGGAGUCCUGAAGGAAUUGGCAGACAUAGUUGCCAAGCCACUCUUGAUGAUCUUUGAAAAGUCAUGGUGGUCAGAUGAAGUCUCUGGUGACGAUGACAAAAGGCAAUAUCACACCCAUAUUUAAGAAGGGUAGAAAGGAUGACCUGGGGAACUAUGAACCUAUUAGCUUCACAUCUGUGCUGAGGAAGAUAAUGGAACAGAUCCUUCUGGUAGCUACGCUAAGGCAUCUGGAAGAGCAGGAGGUGAUAUGGGGCAACCAGCAUGGCUUCACCAAGGGGAGGUUCUGCCUGACCAACUUCAUUGCUUUUUAUGACGGUGUAAGUGUGUCUGUGGACAAGGGAAGAGCCACUGAUGUCAUUUAUUUGGACUUCAGUAAGACCUUUGCCACAGCUUCCCGUAACAUCCUUUUCUCCAAAUUGGAAAGACAUGGAUUUGAUGGGUGAACUCUUUGAUGGACAAGAAUCUGGUUUUGAGAUUAAGAGAUGAGGCUCCUAGGACCAGCUACAUGCACUCUGUCUGGGGCAGCUUCACAAGCUAUUGUGAAACUGCUUUUCUAUGUGUUUUCUCAUUUCCAAACCAAGAAACAAGGUAAAAGCAUUGAAUAUGAUCUUGGACAAGAAAGGUUCUCUGUAGCACUGCACUGGUGAAAAUUGAUAGCAAUGGAGCUGUGUCAUCACUGGGAUUACUUUUGCCCUGAACAGUCCUUCGCAAAUGAAAAAUAAAGCAAAGAAAUGUUCUUAUUUUUUAUCUCUGCUUCUGCAUAAAUGUAGUUUACAUACCACUAUACUGCAUUUAUUAAUGUAUGAAAUUUGUUAAUUUUGUAAGUGUCCAUGGGCUUUCAGUUGCUUUAAUGACAAUUGUUAUCCAUAAUUGCAUUUCAAUCAUUCUAUUGCAUGUACAUGCUUCUUACAAUAAUACUAAUAUACUCUUCUGUACACUUACUGUAAUACACGUACUAAUCAACACUGUAUCAACUGUAUCAACAAUUCUGUAUAUACAUCUUUAAUCAGAUCACUGUCAUGUACUUCCUGACAAGUGCUAGUUUUAAGCUUAGUAACCAGUGGCUUUCAUGACUCAGAAUGGAGCAUAAUGCAGUAUUACCUGAUUUUCUUUGUGACAGAGAUUUCAGUCUGUAUGUUUUAGAGGAUCUAGGGCACUGUAGGUAACACAGAACAAGAUCAUUAGCAAGUACUAUUGUAUUAGAAACUUUUUAGUGACAGCAUUUCUUUCUUCAUAGAUAUUUGUUCUUGCUUACAGAAAUUACACAGAGCGGAAAUGAUCUCACCUUACUUGAUAACACAGAUAUCCAGAUCUAAGCUCGUCAUUCCCUAGGGUGUACAUGCCUCUGUCCAUAGUGAAAAACAGACAUUUUAGAGCUCUUUGAAUAUGACCUAUUUUAGAUGCUUACACUAGAAUGGAAUGAAUCAUGCCUUAGAAUGCUUUUUUUUCCCCGUAGAAAACAGAGGGAGACCAGAGUGAUUAGUCCUGAUCCAGUUCUUUGCACUGCAGUGAUGUACAUCUGGUCAAUUCUUACUACUGAACAAAAAAAUGCUGGUUAUAUAAUUAUGAGGGAAAAGUAAAGAAGCAGCUGAACCUGUGAAUCUUCAAGAUUAAAAAAAAAAAAAAAGCCAUUGCUUUUCUUCACAAAAAUAACAAACUGGACUAUGAUUCUAAGAGUACUUAAUUAUUUUUAGUUAAGUUAGAUGAAAGAAUUUGAAGUUCAUAAGUAAACAGCUUUGCAAUAAGUAAUAAUUCUAGAAGUAGAUAUUACCAAACCUUAAGGUUACUGUAUGUCAUAUGAAUCAUAUUAAUCCAGUCAAUAAAGCAUUCUCUAAUUCCAGUAGCUAUUAAUUAAAUUAAUUUGUUCUAUUUUUCUUUGCUCUACCCAAACAUUACUUUUACUACUCUUGAAAAAAUUAUUUUUUAAAGUUUCUAAAAUUCUAAAAUAUGUUUGAAAUUUAAAGUUUAAGGUGGAUUUUUUUCCAUUUACAAGUAAAUGACAAGGGUAUGUACAAUUUGUUAGAGAUCUAUCUGAAGGUAUGUGUUGAACCUGAUUUCAAGUAUCUAUUGUAUUAGCUUAUCAGUUUAGGAAAAGAUUUCAGCAUGCCGAAUGUGUACAAACAGUGAGAUCGCUUCAAAUGGCUUUGGCCAAUGGGUGAAGAAUUUCUUUAGCAUUUGACAGUUCUGCUCUAGUGAUGAAGAGGCAGGAAGUCCUUGGAAUGAACUAUUGGAUUUCAUUUGUUUUGUAACACAGGUUUUUUAAAUUCACUCAUGGGCUCACCAACACGAUCUAGAUAAACAUCAAUAUAUUCAUUAAACUUUGAAUUUGAACAAAGUUACUGGAUCAUCAGGUAGAAGAACUCUAGAAAUAACAAUACAUUGCAAAUAAACUCUAGGUAAGUAAAAAUCCAAUGUUAGAAAAUGCCUUUCCUAUUGUUGAUGUUAUUUAUUUGUUUCCUUUACAGAUUGAAGGCAUUUGCAGUGUUGACCAGUUCUCCUCUGCUUAUAUAAACUGUGACAACAAAGCAUGUGGACUAGCUAAAACUUUCUCACUACCUAUCACUGUGGAUAGGAAAACCUGUCAUGCAGGCCUUUAAGCAAAUCCCUCAAAGACUUAAUCAUGCACAACAUCAGAGGUUCUUGUUGCAUGUGUGUCUAUACCAACCAGGGACUUAAAGGAAACAACAAUCCAUGAGAUAUGUAUCAUUUGCUACAAAUUAUGCAACCGUGCCAAAUGCUUGAAUACCUCUGAAGCACAUCGCGUUAUGCCAAGGACUCCCCACCUAUCUGAGCCCUGUAGAUCUCAAGAGUAAUUGAAUUUGUUGAUGCAGUUAUAGAGUACAGAAUUCUUCCAUUUAUGUGGCUAGCAACAGACUCACAGUUCUCUUAGUAUUGGAUGUACUUAAACUGCAGCCUUCUUGUCCUCACUUGGUUAUGGCCACACUGCCUCUUUUGCUGAGUAUGGCAAGAACUAAUUAAUUUAAGAAUUAAUGCAAGAGUAUGUCUUAUAAAGAUGUCCCUCUAUAUGUAAUACACAGCAUUUCUACCACAACAGAUGUUUUGUCAAAGGUUUCAAAAUGCAUAUGUAUCUCCAUUUUACACGCAGUCUUCAGAAAGACAUCUGCACACCUAUGUGGUUUCCAGGAUUAACUUGCUUUAGCGUUCCUACCUUCUGUAGGAACAACUGAGGGAUUAUCAUAAGCAUUAUGGUUUCUGGUCACUUCUGGAUCUUUAACCCAAAUAACGUAUUUCUGAGUUGGUUAUGGGUAGCCUUCACCACAAAUUAAAAGCAGCUCUGGUAUUUAUGUAUCCUGAUGGAUGGCAAAAUGUCCAUCCAUCUCUUAUUCUGUAAUACAUAUCGUCUCCAUACAAAGAUGAUCUUCCUCGAGUGGCUAGUGUCUAACAUCAUUAGCACCUAUAGCUUCGGAUAUGAAAACUAAAAUACUUCAGUGUGCAAUACCACAGUCUCACUUCCUGUAAAUGUAAAAUAACCCUCAUAUGAAAUCUGCCAAAUUGCUCUUGAUCACUGUUGUCCCUGUCUCCCAUUCUACCAUUUAGUGCAGAUUUAUACCUAUCCAAUGUGGCAACUCCUGCAUGGCCUAAUGAAUAGAACACAGCUUUAUUUUAAUGGCAAGUACAAGAUAGAAAAAAAAUGAUGGAAUGAUUUUCCUGGCUCAUUUUCAUUAUGCUUCAGCUUUGGACUGAACUUUAAAAGGUAAAUCACCCAACUCUUGACUACACAAGCAUUUAAAUAACUACAGAGAUUCUUAGCAUUUUUUACCUUUGGUGACUGUGGAUUCAUGUUGACUUUAAACUGACUUAAGGGUAUUAGAAAAGAAAUUUUCAGGCAAAGAUAAUACUCUGUUGUGGAAUGGAUAUUGAGCAAUUAGGGAAAGAAGAAUAUUUUAUCAUUCUUGUCACAGAGGCUAUUUCUUGGGCAAUGGCUACCUGCUCCUUUUUAUCUUUCCCACCCAUGCCAUAUUGCAGCAAAUGUGGCCGCAGGUGCCUACACUGGAUGAACACCUGCCCAAUCUGCGCAAGAAGGAAAGGAAAUCAAGGGAUGUCAUGCUCACUAGUUUUGUGUACUCAACUCAGGAGAGUGACAGAAAGGAGAAAUGAGAAGACAGUUAAAUUUAGCAUGAUUAAGAAGAGAGAGUAGAAGAAAAUGGCUGUGACCUUCAGAAGCAGCUUUUGCAGGAGAUGGAGAGCAGGUAAGUCUAAACACACUUUUUUCAAAGGCAGAACACCACUUUCUGUGUCUGUCAGCCUUUCUAUAACAAUGCAUCUACUACAGUGAGCUGACAGAAACCUUACAAAGUUCAACAGAGUCCUGCACCUAGGGAGAAACAAGCACAGGCACCAGGACAUGCUGGGGCCACCCAGCUGAAAAGCAGCUCUGCAGCAGAGGACAUGGGGACAGAGUGGUGGGGACACCACUCUGGACAUGAGUAAGCAGCGUGCCCUUGCUGCUAAGAAGGCCAAUGGUAUCCUGAGCUGCAUUAGGCAAAGAAUUGCCAACAGGUCAAGAGAGGUGAUCCUUCCCCUAUACACAGCCCCAGUAAGGCUGGAGCAAUGUGUCCAGCUCUGGGUCUCCAGUAUGGGAGAGACACGGAUGUAAUGGAAAGGGUCCAAAGAGGCAUAACCAAGAUGGUCUGGGACUGGAGCACCUCUCCAGUGAGGAGAAUCUCAUCAGUGUCUGUAAAUACCCAAACAGAAGAUGCAAAGAAGAUGGAGCCAGGCUCUUCUCAGUGCUGCUCAGUGUCAGUACAAGAGACAAACUGUAACACAGAGGCUCCCUCUGAACACCAGGAAGCAGUUCUGCACUGUCGGGUGAUGGAGCACCAUCAUGGGCUGCCCAAAGGCUGUGGGUUCUCCUCCUUGGGGAUCUCCAGAAGCCACCUGGUUGUGGGCCCAGGCAGCCUGUAAAUCUGUGUAGUGGCUUUUUACACCAGUUUGCAGGUAAAAUUUUGUCCUUUCUCAUUCCAUGUUGCAAAACAACAAAUAAAAUAUGUUUUGUGUGAAACUACAUAAGCUCAUUCUUUUACCCUCAGAGAUAGAUCCUUUAUAUAGUUCCAUAGAAUAUUUAUCCCUGCUUUCUUGCCUUAACUACCUUAUAAUUUCUGCAAUUAUUUUUGUAACAUUACUAUAUAAAAAGCUUUACAGAAUUCAAUAAAUUCCCUG